AACAUCUAAGUACCCCGAGGAAAAGAAAUCAACCGAGAUUCCGAAAGUAGCGGCGAGCGAAAUUGGACUAGCCCUUAAGCUUUACACGCGUUAGACGAACGGUCUGGAAAGUCCGACGAUACAGGGUGAUAGUCCCGUAGUUGACGACGUGUGUUCAGUGAAAUCGAGUAGGGCGGGACACGUGAUAUCCUGUCUGAAUAUGGGGGGACCAUCCUCCAAGGCU
rnacentral:rRNA from 1 species